AGAUGGUUGCAGCAGUAACUGGCAAUUCAUCAGUGUCCUUCUGGCUGGAGUAUAGGUUAUAUCCUGGUAUGUUGGGAACUCUAGAAAGAGCAUCAGCUCCAAGACCUGUGUCGCUGGCAUCAGUGUGCACCAUGAAGGGUAACUGGAGGUUUGGAUGACUCAGGAUGGGAGGUGAAGUAAGGUGAGUUUUUAAUUGUUCAAAGGCUUCUUGGCAUUGUGGGGUCCAGUGAAACGAGUGCCCUUUUUUCUUUAGUGCAUUUAUGGGUUCAGCAAUUUGAGAAAAAUUAGGAACAAAGCGGUGGUACCAACCGGCUAGUCCCAGGAAGCGCUGGACCUCUUUGAUGUCUCGUGGCACAGGGUUGAUAGUCAGUCCAGCCUCCUGAAGCUUAAGAAGGACUGAUCGGAGAUCGUUGAAGUGCUGAGUAGAGGUCUUCACGGGUCCAAAAAUUUGUGCCCGAACCCGACAGAGACCCGUAAUGUACUACACCGAACCGACCCGGACCCGUCUAUUAUUUCAAAAGCUGGACCCGGACCCGU